AAGUCGUAACAAGGUUACCGUCGGGGAACCAGCGGUAGGAUCAUUAGUGCCGAAACAAACGCGAAAUGUGGUGGGGCUGCGGCCGGCCUGUUGUGGGCUCCUCGGGGUACCAUUUGGGCGGGCCAAAGUCUCUCAUUUUUUUCAACCCACAUCACGGCGCAAACCGUCUUGUAUGCACAUGAAAAUUCUUCUUAUUUAGAACUAAGAAAUCACAACUGGCAACGGUGGAUCUCUUGGCUCGU
rnacentral:misc_RNA from 1 species